CGGGUGAGUAACACGUGGGUUACCUGCCCCGAUGAUUGGGACAACCCGAGGAAACUCGGGCUAAUACCAAAUGUGCUCCUGGCCGUAAUGGCCUUGAGGAAAGGAAGCUUCGGCCUCCGCAUCGGGAUGGGCCCGCGGCCCAUUAGCUUGUUGGUGGGGUAAUGGCCUACCAAGGCGACGAUGGGUAGCUGGUCUGAGAGGACGAUCAGCCACACUGGGACUGAGACACGGCCCAG
rnacentral:rRNA from 1 species